UGUGAAUACAAUUAUCAUUAUUAAUCGAUCUUUAUUUUACAGGAGAGGAAAGAACUGAGAUAAAUUUCUGACUGAGGGAAGUAGACUCUAACUCUCAGCGAGAAGUAAACGAGAGAUGCAAGAAUAAAACCGACAUACGAUCUCAUAGAUUCAUACACGUCGUUUCAACAGUUCGAGUAACACCGAUUUCAAAACCAUCUUCGAUUUCGAACCAUUCGUCGCGAUUGCAUAAAGCGUCGAAACAAAACAACAAAACAACAAAACAACGAAACGGAAACGUAUCGUGCACGUAAAAGGCGAUAUCGCGUCGAGUGACGAAGAUUGCUCCUUUCUCGGAGGAAUGAGCGUCCCAUAAAUCACGAUUCGACGAGGAGGAGAGAUGCUGGGAAACGCGAAAGAGCAUCGUCGACCUGCCGCCUGGUUGAAAAAAGACGAGAAACGGGAAAUCGGCUCGUAUCUUCCGUUUUUCCACGCAAUCAAACCACUCCGGACUCAACGGCACAGGUUUCGUUUCUUUUGCGGCUCUGCUGUGUCGAGCAAUUGCUCCCUUUUUGCGCGAAAAAAUAUUCCCAUCUGUCACGUGUUUCGUCACCAGUCGCUCGUAUCAGCGAGAGGGAAAGAGUAUUCGUGGAAAAUAUUUGCGUGGCGAGAUAUUAAUAUUGUAGUAAUGGAAGGAUGCAGAGAAUGAUGAAAAAUCUGAUUCUAAUGGCAAGAAACGUACGAUCUGUUGUGAUAGAGAAGGUGUAUAAGAGUGUAUGGAACAUUGCAUCGUUAAAGAAUUACAAUCAAGAUGGUGUCAGAAUCAAUUGAUUUAAAAGGAAGAAACAGUUUAUUGAUCAUGGAAUAAGUUUUUCGAACACAUUUUGCAAAAAUGCAAGAAAUAUUGUUUCUUGAAAUAAGAAAAUCUUUUGUACUCAAAUUAUUCCUUAAUUUGAUUUAAUUCGAAUCACACUUUAAUAUCGGAUCUGUAGUUUUAAUCGGAUUUUUUGUGAUUCGAAAAAUUUUCGAGGAAUGGAAGAAUGUUUAAGAAUGUGUAAUAAUGUGAAAAGUUCUUUUUAUUUUUAUAUCUACUUACAUUCUACGAUAUAAUAAUUUUGUUCCGUACAACCGUGGAUGUUUUCUGAUAUUUGAGAAGGAAUGGAUGGAAAAUCGAUACGUAUUUUACAUUAAUGACCGUGUAAUGCGCAAUAUAACUGCGAUUUUUAGAUACGAAAAUUAUCGCGAUUGUGAUUUAUUUGAUACGAUUUAUUUCUGGGCAUCAUUUGCAAGAUAAAAAAGGAGUGGUUCGAAUGUUGGAAAUAUUUCGUUCCGUCGAGUAUCGGUCUUUCAUAAAUACCAGCAUUAUCUGCUCACCAUUAUUUGUCAUGGUCGAUUUUGAAUCAAGCUGAACUGUUCAUUUCGCGAAAUCGUUUUUGCAUACGCGAUAAAAGUACCUCUGACCGUCCUGCCGACUCGCCAUAGACGAACGAGCUUUAUCGGUAAUAUUUUGGCGUGAAAUUAGAAGAAAAAAAAAAAAAGUCGAACGAACUAAAUUGACUUUGACGAAAGAAAAAAGUUAAAAAAAAAGCACGAAUGAAUAAAACGUGGAUAUGAUAUAUAAGAAGAGGAUAUUUAAAUAUCGGUUAUAUAUAUUGAACAAAAUGUAAAGCAAUUAAUUACAAAUUCUAGAGUUUAGCAUCGAAGUUGUAUACACGAAUAUAAAUAGAGUUUCGUUUCAACGAUGUAAAUAUUUUCCAACUCUCUCGCGUUUGUUUUGAAAUGUUUCUUGCUGCGAAUUAUAUAUUAAUAGUUCAGUUGACGAACAGACUUCCAAGCGAUUCGUAUCUCGUCGCUCGCGCCAUUCAAAUCCUUUUUCGACGGAGGCUAAUGAUCGAAAGAUCGGUGAAUUAUCGAGUGAAAACGGUCGACAAUGGUGAAACAACUACUUCAUUAGCAGAAUCGUUGGGUAUUACGUUCGUGAAACUACGCAUUCUACGCAGAGCUAUUGAAUGUUUACGAUGUCUUACGGUUUACGACGAAACGCGAGAAACACAAGCAUGGUGAAAUGUUAAAUUCCAGAAGUUCGUUUCCACCAUCCCCUCUUCGCUUUCACCAUCUCUUCAUCUUCAACAUCUUCCUCUGUAUUCCUUUUCUCGAUGACGCGAAGUCGUUCGACGUUUGAAGGCACAUGGAAAAAGUGGAAAGGGACGAAAGGACGAGUUGGGAAUUAUUAGAACGAAUUAUUCAAACGGCGGCGUGGAACAGGUGGAGCUUAUUGCCGGAACACGGCCACAUGGCGUCUCGUUACGAUGCGUUUGUGGGAUCGACGGCCUCACCUGGAGCCACGCACAGGAGGAGAGAACAAGCGUGGGCUAACGAGGGAUGGAAAAUCUGCGGGGGGUGCGGUGGAUGUAACAACGAAAAGAAAAAUUACAUGGCGUAAUUUUCUCGCACUGCUACACUGGAAAUUGAAAUGACGCCGAUUCACUCGGGCGAAAAAGUUUUCUAAGUGAUUCUGGUCCUCGGUUCAUGCGCGUCGACAAUUCGGUAUUCAUUCGAGCGAAUGUUUAAAGUGGACGGAAUCAAGAAAACCACUCGAUGUAAAUUGUGAUGCGCAUGAACGCUAUUCUAGAUACUCAAAGUGACUUAUAUAUAUAUAUACAUAUUUCAUUGUUGAAUAUUUUUUAUUAUUAUAUCAACAAUGAUUUUUUAUAAGUUGCCAAGAGAAUGAAUUGAUACAAGAAUGGAACAUUUUAUUUCUAUUAUCUCUAUUAUAGGUAAUGCAUUAAUAAUUUUUUGUUACGAGUCGAUAUAUAAGAAUCAAAGGACUUCAAUGUGUAAUCAAAAAUAUCUGCGACACGAUGAAAAUAAAUCCGUUUCGUGGAUUAAAAAAUUGGUGAGAAGGAAACCUCAUCGAAAUCCUACAAUAGAUGGUACCAGCUUUCGCAAUAGAGCAACUCUUUUUCCAGAAACUCGAAAAUCCAACGUGAAACCAAUCAAACGUUACGUGACCAGGAACCCGCGAAACGCACGACUCUCGAACAUGGUCUCGAGUGGCACUGUCUCGUCACGAGUUUCGAGGAAGCAAGCGGGGAUAAGGAGGGGGCGAGACAUUUUGAGCGUACUCCCCUAGGAGCCUCGAGUCGUUUCAUCCGGAAUACCAUUCUCUCUCUCUCGUUGAAAGAGAAGACGAGACGAGAGAUAAUUAAUUGUUUCGAGGCAGAAAGUAAAAUUCCUUAAAUCAUCGAGCCAAAAAAAUUAUCCAUUAUUCCUUUAAGUCCUUUGUGAUAGAUCUAGCUCUGUGUCUUGCUUCCUCCGUUGAUUUCGAUUCUCGUGUCCCAACACUCUCUGCCAUCUCGACUUAUCCCUCUACGAACUUUCGAGAGGAACGUGACGAACCUGUCAUUUUCGACGUUGAACUCUUCACGGGGAAACGUGUAAGAUGAUCCUCGACUCGACGAGGGGGAACAACGAAUAUAUAUAUACGGAAAAACGAAGCGUUGUUAAUUGGAAUACGAUACCGUCGAAAGGAAAUCGAACGGGGGAGAUGAGAAAUGAAAGGAAUCGAUCAAGGUUAACAGGAUUGGAGAAUGGCGGACAAGGAGAGCGAACAGCGCGAUCUAAUCUUGGGAUAAGUAUGAACGUGCAAAUGUACACGUACGUAUUGUUACGAGAAAUCGAUCCGGCAACAUAACGCUGAAACAUUCUGUCGGAAGCGAGAUUCUAUUCUGGAAUACGGCACGGUUAAUAUUAGGAGGCUUCGUAUCGAGCCUCGAUAUGUCCUUAUUCGCCGCGAGGGAGGAGGAGGGGGUGACGAGUCGCAAUUGGGGAUGAAAAUCGGGGAUUACGGAUUACGUUUGUCGUAGAAAUCGAUAAGUGGCAAAACAGGCACUGCAUAGGAGUAAGCAAUUUUGCGAGAGAAUCGUAUUAUUCCGAGACUACCACUGUCGGAUAUCUCGUCGAUAAUAAACUAAUAUUAUUGGAAGCAGAUCGGUAAUACGGUAGUUUAGCCUCGAUAACGAAAUUACGAUGGUUAAAAUGCCUCGUACAAUGUGCGCGCGUCGAUCAUCAAGCGAGGUUAAUAUCGUUAAUAUGAAAUCGAUAAAAUCUCGUGAACGAUCACAUCGUGGAAACGAAUUCUUUCGCGGCGAUAUAGAUGCAUAACUAUUAUGAGAGAAAUAAUAUCGGGGAUAUGGCGAGAGAUAAAAGUCUUUAUACGUUUUUAUGCAAGCUUAAUUAACGAACAGUUUUAUGAAAAUAUUGUUGGAUUUCUUUCAAUGAAUUUUUCGAAAUAUAUAUUGCCAAUCCUUAAUUUUCUAAUAGAAUUCAAAAGAGAAUGAUAUAUAUAUAUAUAGAAAUUUUAAAGUUUUAAGAUUUAAUAACGAAUCUCAUCUAAAUGCAUAUCAAACAAGAUAUGUUAUGAUUCAAACUCAAUAAAAAUGUUCAGGCUUUAUCGAAAUCAGAAUUUUAUUUUGGUUAAUUUAAAUUUGUAAGCAUACUUUUAUCUCUCGUUGUACUUUCGUAAAACAUUUCUGCUGUUUUUUCAUUCACAACUUUGGAGAAACUCGAAAAAUCGUAACGAUCAUGUCGAUUAUCUCGAGAAUCUUCUGUAUUUUUUUCAAGACCUAGACCGACGUUACGAAAUCGUAACAAUUCCCCAUCCUUGACAAAAAAUCGUAAAUUUUUUCCUAAUGAACGAUCUCUUAAUUCAAUUCAGAUCCGUGAUAACUCGAUUGUGAGAUGUAAUCGUAACAAUCGGUUCGAUCUAGUAGCUCGCUUUCGCCGUGGAAAUAGUUUCCUUUUCCUUUUUUCUUUUUUUUUUUUUGUCCCUGAUCGCCAUCUCGUUCAAGGGAAAUCGUUCUUGCGGUCGUGAACGGGAGCAAAACUAUCUCGUCACGUCUUUCUUUGCGAAACGAAAGCAAGGACGCGGCGAUUUUACUUGCGAUCAAGUUCAAAAACGAGUCGAUUCUCAGUUCCAUUGAGAAAUUCCAUUGCAACAGGAAUAUCCGUGGACAAAUCUUAUCUAAAAUAUUUUAUUCAAUGAUUAUAAAUAAAUAAUUUCGAUAAAUUAUUUCCCUUAGACUCGUGAUUAAUUUUAAUCGUAAUGAAGAAGAGGUGAAUUACGAGAGUUCAUUUUUUCCAAGAUGGAGAUGAGCCAGACUAGAUGGAAAAGAGGAUAUUAAAUUUGCAUAGCGACAAGAAGAACACAAACUGAUAAUUCUUGUACAAACGAAGGAAGAUGGAUUGCAUCGAUUAUUUAAAAAAUCAUUCAAAGAUAUUUAUAUUGAAAACGAGCUAGUCGUCGUUGAAUCAAUUGCAAUUAAUAUCACGCGCAAAGAAACAGAUAAAUAACAUUAAAUUGUUGUGCGGGAAAAUUAGAUUACAUUUUAAUCUUUCAUUUAAUGCAUAAAGAAUCAGCUCCAUCUCAGCAUAAAAUUCGACAAGGGUAAGGUAGACGUGUUCAUCCCUCGGAACAAUUCUACGAAACUCGUUCUACGAAUGCUCUCAACUUCAAAUUAGACUGGAAAUAUGCACCGUGAGUUCUUCCAUUAAGAGAAAGUUUUUUUCCUCCCCCUCCCUUGCGAAAAAAUCCCAUACGAAAAUUCUCCUAUGGGCGUUCCUCCCCUUCCUUCUUGAAAAGGAAGAAAAAAGAAAGAGAGAGAGAAAGA